rnacentral:rRNA from 1 species
CCAUUGACGACGGCGACACGUCACGCCCGUCUGGCCACCAACGCGGCGGCGCAAAAUGCGGAGCACCCGACGGAGACGGGCCCGACUCCUGGCGCGACGGCGUGCGGCCGGAUACCGGCGGCGGCGCCUCGGCGCUCUGUGGCGCAAACGACGGCCCGCAACGGUACGGCCCGUGGCCGGCAACCGGCGACGGCGGAGACACGAAAUGCGCGGACCGGCGGAGUAGCUUUUUCUACGUCCGGGCCUCACGUAGGAGGCGGUGCGGCCCCGGCACCAGGUGCCGGCGGAGCCCCACGUCGCGACCCUCGUCGGCCCGGCUUCCUACAGCGGUGAGGCGCUCCUCGGAUCGGUUCCCUUUGCAGCAGGCCCGGUACCCAGCGACGGUUUCAAACGAAACCUACCGUAAUUUUUGCUACGGGAUCUCCCGCGGCGUGGUCUUCUCGCCAGCGGCGAGCUGCGGCUACCCAUGACGCCCGCGCUCGUGGCGCGAACUCUCACCGGAGCGGCCCGGCAGGUACCAGACUGUAUCUGUGCGCGGGCUCCUGAGACAACAGCCUCUCGGUGCGCAGCCGGCACAGAGACGGAGGUCUACGCUCUCUCGGCGGAGCGACGACAAAGGGGAAGCGAAAGAAGAGACGCCGGUUUAGUGAGAGCCAAUGCUCGCACGACUAUUGACAAUUUCAUUUGACUAACUCUUACUUAGAGACUUAAGGU